UGCGCCUGUCCCAAUUCAGGAGCCUCUGUCCUUUUAAGUCUUGUAUGCUUUUAAUUUUAGUUCAUUGUUAUAUUUCGAAGUUUAGUAUGACGUCUAUAAUCACUGAACCAGUACACUUUUUAAAGUUGCAUGCGACCGAUGCGCUUUUUUUUUUUUGGAUCUACCUUCAUCAGGAACGUCAAAAAGGCGAAUAAUACUAUUUGGUUU
rnacentral:lncRNA from 1 species